AGUAACGCGUGAGGAACCUGCCUCAAAGAGGGGGACAACAGUUGGAAACGACUGCUAAUACCGCAUAAGCCCACGGCUCGGCAUCGAGCAGAGGGAAAAGGAGUGAUCCGCUUUGAGAUGGCCUCGCGUCCGAUUAGCUAGUUGGUGAGGUAACGGCCCACCAAGGCGACGAUCGGUAGCCGGACUGAGAGGUUGAACGGCCACAUUGGGACUGAGACACGGCCCAG
rnacentral:rRNA from 1 species